GGAAUAUUGGACAAUGGGGGCAACCCUGAUCCAGCAAUGCCGCGUGAGUGAAGAAGGCCUUAGGGUUGUAAAGCUCUUUCGGCGGGGAAGAUGAUGACGGUACCCGCAGAAGAAGCCCCGGCUAACUCCGUGCCAGCAGCCGCGGUAAUACGUAGGGGGCAAGCGUUGUUCGGAAUUACUGGGCGUAAAGGGCGCGUAGGCGGCAUGGCAAGUCAGGAGUGAAAGCCCGGGGCUCAACCCCGGAACUGCUUUUGAAACUGCCGAGCUCGAGUGCGGAAGAGGCAACUGGAAUUCCCAGUGUAGCGGUGAAAUGCGUAGAUAUUGGGAAGAACACCGGAGGCGAAGGCGGGUUGCUGGGCCGACACUGACGCUGAGGCGCGAAAGCCAGGGGAGCAAAC
rnacentral:rRNA from 1 species